rnacentral:rRNA from 1 species
CGCACGGGUGAGUAACGCGUAGGUAAUCUACCCCUAUAUUUGGGAUAACCUUGCGAAAGUGGGGCUAAUACCGGAUACCCUUUGAUUGUUGCGAGACAGUUGGAGGAAAGGAGGCCUCUUAAUAAAGCUUCCGUAUAGGGAUGAGCCUGCGUACCAUUAGCUAGUAGGUGGGGUAAAGGCCUACCUAGGCAACGAUGGUUAGCGGGUCUGAGAGGAUGAUCCGCCACACUGGAACUGGAACACGGACCAG